AUUAUCUUUCCAAAAUUGUGGACAUUUUACUGCAACUCGAGCCAAUUCAGUAGUGCCAGUUUCACUUUCAUUCGUGUUCGGCAUAAUUCACAGUUCGUGUCACCAAUAUAAAUUCUCUGUCCGGGUCACCAGUGUAAAUUCGUGUAGUAAGUAGUAAGUAUGGAUCAGAAGGUGAAUUAACUUAUCAAUAAACACGAAUUCACAUAACAAACAAACUUAACAAGUUUUAUUAUUAAAUAUAACAGAUCUGUAAAAAUAUGGCAAGAAAAAGAACGAUAAUUGUUUUUCUUUUUAAAAAGCAAGCGCGUGGCUAGAUAAUGAUUGCACGCGACAACUGGUAAACGGUUUCAGCGCAGUGUAAGUAUUUAACGAUAGGUGGCGGUCGCCACAGCGUCUCGACUAGCAGUUUUGUUUUCUUUUAUUUCAAAAAAUAAUUUUCUGUGAUUCUACUGUUCUACUAAUAUUCCUCAGAAAAAUGAGUUGGUUUGCUAGGAUAGCUACAAUGGGAUUUUUUGUGAAGCAGUUGUUAUUUUAUGUUGCCAAUAUGGUUAUGAUAGCACCCUAUUGGAAAGAACCACCGUAUCCUGACCCUCUUAAAUUCCAAAAUGAGGAUAAUAUUGUGCGACAACCGCACAUUUAUCGGCACAUUCAGUGCCUAUGAUAAGCAUAUGAAUAUUGUGUUGACUAAUUGUGCAGAGUACAAGAACUAUGUAAACAAACGAAAGAUUACAAUUAAAGGAAAGAAAACGAUCGGCACUGCCAUAAUAAGAGGAGAAAAUAUUGUAUCUGUGAUAGUUGAAACUCUUCCAGAGUUACUACUACUUUGAUCAUAAGAAAAAUCACCUUAUUUAGUGGGCACCUGUGUGAAAAUGUUUGAUAAAACUAUUGAACUAUUUGUGAUCUCUUGCCUUCAUUUACAAGAAUCUCGCUCUGCUGGAAGCAGCAGUCGCCGUUCCAGACAUUAAACAUAUGUCUUGCAACUACUAAUUUGACAAGUGGAAGUUUCAGUAUCAUGUUUCAUCGUACAAAAAGCAUUUGUCAUUAACACUAAACACAUCGUAACCAGUCUUAAAGACCAGUUAGGUUAUGGUAUAACCAGUCAUUGUAUAUUAUAUUGUUAAGUAUUGGUAUGUUUAUGGUAUAACCAGUUAUUGUAUGUUGUUAAGUGUUGGUAUGCUUAUGGUGUAACCAGUGUUGUAUUGUUAAGUGUUGGUAUUUUUAUGGUGUAACCAGUGUUGUAUUGUUAAGUGUUGUGUUUUGUAUAAAAUGAACAAUUUAAUCUUUGUAAGCUUUAUGGAAUUGUUUGAGAAAUGUUGCCAAAACGAACUUAUUUACUGUAUUUUAAAUAUAUAUGAUUAGAGGUAGAGUUGACUGUAUGUCAGCAGUUCCCAUAGGGCUACAGAACCCUAAAUGAUCGAGCAUCUUUUGGCAUAAUCCCUAAUCAAGAUUUCUAAACUGUAAGGUUUGCUCUUCCCGAGGUUUUUUUUUCUUCUUCAAAGAGGCAAAAUUAUGACAUAGCAUACUCAUACUGUUUGUCUACGAUAGGUACUCUGUCCGCCACAAAGUCUGCGGCAGUCUGGUGCUAUGGAAACAAGAAGAGAGCAUUUUAGGGAGGGUGGCUUCGAUGAAGUGGUCUCAUUUUCUUUCGCCUUCGAUGAUAGCUUGUACGGGGAGUAUACCAGAUUGGCUGACUCAGCCACCAGUAGGAGACUUAUUUAAUCUGAUUCAAGAACUUUUUUAAGAUUCGCAUGAAUAUUUCUUUCUUACUUAAAAUAAUUCUCUCGAUUCAAUCAGUUGUUAUUUUUUAAAUACAAAGGAAAAAAAGUGAACAAAUUCUGACAUUAAGGGUAGUACAGGUUUUUUUAAUAUUACUUUUUAAUUUUACGAUAUUUAUUAUGAAUGUUCAUUGAUUGUUAGAUGGUUUAAUUUCUAAACUUGCACAUUUUUUAAAGCAGUUAAUUUCUUUUAUUACUUGAAUUUUCUGGAAAAAGUGAAGAGCUUAAACUUAAUAACUCUGAUUUUAAAAGGAGAUAAAACUUUUGCUGAAAAUAAAAAUAGUUCACGUUAUCUGUGCCGGAGAAAUAUUAAAUAUCUUUGUUUUGAUUAUUAAUUUUUAAAUAUUUUAUUUAUUUAUUUAUUUUUUUUUUUUUUUUUUGAAACUGAAAGCAAGUGACCGCAACUAGGAUGAAAUCUAAAACUAUCAACGAUGAUUUUUAUCAGCACCCAUCAAACCAUCUGAAAUUAUCUGAAGUUUUUUUUGCUUAAAUUACGUUUUCUUAUUCAUAUUUUAUUGUAACCUGUACAGUUUUUUUUCACUAUUUAUUAAAAACAGUUUUUAUUAGCAAAUUUAUUUUUUUCUUAAUAACCAAUUUACUAUGUAUGAUAAAUUUAUAGAUGAGUUAUUUAUUAAUAAAACAUUGAGCUGCUUUAAACAAUUUUAUACAAUUUCCAUACAUAUUCCAUACAUACAUAUAAAUUUUUUUAAUUUUUUUUCUAAAACAGAAGCUUUUGAAAAAGAGAAAAGAUUAAAAAAAAGGAAUCACACGCUCUAAACGAUGUUUCAGGCGCGAAUGCUCAUUUCUCUUAACUCUAGGGCUAAUACAAUAGAUCGAAGAAAGAAGUCUUCUUUUCUCCCACGGAAACCAGUCUUAAAGAGGGGCCCCGCACCCCUACUUGAAAUAAUCAUACCUCGUUACCAUAGUCCCCGCCACCCCUCCAGACGAAUGGCGGACAGAGUACCUAUCGUAGACAAACA